GGUAACCUACCCUGUACACACGGAUAACAUACCGAAAGGUAUGCUAAUACGGGAUAAUAUAUUUGAGAGGCAUCUCUUAAAUAUCAAAGGUGAGCCAGUACAGGAUGGACCCGCGUCUGAUUAGCUAGUUGGUAAGGUAACGGCUUACCAAGGCAACGAUCAGUAGCCGACCUGAGAGGGUGAUCGGCCACAUUGGAACUGAGACACGGUCCAAACUCCUACGGGAGGCAGCAGUGGGGAAUAUUGCACAAUGGGCGAAAGCCUGAUGCAGCAACGCCGCGUGAGUGAUGAAGGCCUUCGGGUCGUAAAACUCUGUCCUCAAGGAAGAUAAUGACGGUACUUGAGGAGGAAGCCCCGGCUAACUACGUGCCAGCAGCCGCGGUAAUACGUAGGGGGCUAGCGUUAUCCGGAUUUACUGGGCGUAAAGGGUGCGUAGGCGGUCUUUCAAGUCAGGAGUGAAAGGCUACGGCUCAACCGUAGUAAGCUCUUGAAACUGGGAGACUUGAGUGCAGGAGAGGAGAGUGGAAUUCCUAGUGUAGCGGUGAAAUGCGUAGAUAUUAGGAGGAACACCAGUUGCGAAGGCGGCUCUCUGGACUGUAACUGACGCUGAGGCACGAAAGCGUGGGGAGCAAACAGGAUUAGAUACCCUGGUAGUCCACGCUGUAAAC
rnacentral:rRNA from 1 species